AGUGAACGCUGGCGGUAGGCCUAACACAUGCAAGUCGAACGGCCGCACAGUAAGAGCUUGCUCUUACGGGUGGCGAGUGGCGGACGGGUGAGGAAUACAUCGGAAUCUACUUUUUCGUGGGGGAUAACGUAGGGAAACUUACGCUAAUACCGCAUACGACCUACGGGUGAAAGCAGGGGAUCUUCGGACCUUGCGCGAUUGAAUGAGCCGAUGUCGGAUUAGCUAGUUGGCGGGGUAAAGGCCCACCAAGGCGACGCUCCGUAGCUGGUCUGAGAGGAUGAUCAGCCACACUGGAACUGAGACACGGUCCAGACUCCUACGGGAGGCAGCAGUGGGGAAUAUUGGACAAUGGGCGCAAGCCUGAUCCAGCCAUACCGCGUGGGUGAAGAAGGCCUUCGGGUUGUAAAGCCCUUUUGUUGGGAAAGAAAAGCAGCAGGUUAAUACCCCGCUGUUCUGACGGUACCCAAAGAAUAAGCACCGGCUAACUUCGUG
rnacentral:rRNA from 1 species